GAACAUGUAUUGACAAUGUCACAAGAGUUUCUUGUUCAUAUUAUUGCAAAUAUUGACAUUUACUUUUUCAAAAUUGCAGAUGGGAAGCAAGCAAAGAACAAUAACUGAACUUGAUAUACUCACAAUGACACAAGAACUCGUUCUAAAUGUGAGAUAAAAUAGCAAAUAAUGAUCUCAGAAACUUGAAGAAAAAUGCUAUGUACAUAAUAAUGAAAAGUUGGCAAUCUAUUUACUGCUCCCCUACAAUACAGUACAUACAUUUUCAUUUACUGCUCCCCUACAAUCUGACAUUAUAUACAACGCAAAAGACCUAGUUAUCUACAUGAUGGAACUAGCAAAAGCAAAGCGUGAAGAAAUCAAAACUACAAUACAGUACAUACAUUACAGCAAACCCAGCUCUAUGACUUCAUGAGCACAUAUAUAAUACAAAAAAAACAGGGGAGGAAAUACUCUGAUAAUUACAUUUAAUUUGCAGAGGAAAAGCACUGAAAUUCCAUGAGAUGUGCAAACAAACAAUAAGAUACAUAAGCAAAAAAGAUUAAUUAUGGCCUAAAUACAGAACUACGACACUGGGAAACUGCAGUGCAACAGUAAAGAGAGGAACAGACUAAAGCCAUCAGAGAGUUUAGUAUAACAAUGGGGGCUGACAACAUUCCUUCUUCAAGCACAUGAUAAUUUCCUCUUCAAUGAUUCACUUUAUGCAAAAACAAAAAAAGACAAGGGUCAAUCCAAACAAAGAUCAUAAAAAACACAAUCAACUACUUCAAGAAAAAGAACACACAUGAUUCAUAUAUAACUUGAAUAGAGCGUUGUCAAAGCCUCCAUUAUCACCAAGAAGUCCCUGAAAAAAGUCAACAGACCCAAAUUAAAAAUCUGAAAUAGAGAAGAAAGAAGAAAAUAAAUACUAAAGAAGAAGAAACAACUAAGUACCAAUGACAUAGCAUUAGAACCAUCGUGCGCGAAGUCAUUAAGCACAAACGGAACAUUCAAAGAAUAUGCACUCUCAAUAGAUGAUACUAAUGGAAUGUCCUGGUGAGGGACUUUCCGUAGCCUACCCAUUAGAAUAAAAAGCAAAACAAAUCAUAAAAAAAAUGAGAAACAUAUCCGAGAGCUAGCUCUAAACACAUGAAUAUGGCAUAGGAAUGUAGCUCAAAAAUUGCGGAGAAUGAAAUAAAAUUACAGAGAAAUGCAGCUGAAAUUUACAAUCAAAUUACAGUGAAAAACUAGGGAAUUACAGUGUAAAUCUCAGUCAAAUUACAGAGUAAAUCUGACGCAAAUUCCAAUGUAAAUCUCGAUCAAAUUACAGUGUAAUAUCUGGGACAUAUCACAAUGCAAAUCUGGGGAAUUACAGUGUAAAACUCAGUCAAAUUACAUAGUAAAUCUGAGGCAAAUUCAGUGGAAAUCUCAGUCAAACUACAGUGUAAUAUGUGCGACAUAUUACAGUGCAAAUAUGGGGAAUUACAGUGAGCGCAGUCAACUUACAUAGUAAAUCUAGGCAAAUUCCAGUGUAAAUCUCGGUCAAAUUACAGUGUAAUAUCUGAGACAUAUUACAGUGCAAAUCUAGGGGAUUACAUUGUAAAUUUUGGUCAAAUUACAGAGUAAAAGUAGCUGAAAUAUACACAGAAAACGGAGGGCAUAUAACAGUGUAAAAUCUAGGGGAUUGCAGUGUAAAUCUCGGUCAAAUUACGGAGUAAAAGAAGCUGAAACAUACAUAGUAAAUCUACGGCAUAUUGCAGUGUAAAUCUAGGGGAUUACAGUGCAAAUCUCGGGCAUAUUAUAGUGUAAAAGAAGCUCACAUUUACAAAGAAACUCUGGCAUACUACAGUGCAUAUCUGGGACAUACUAGGCAUAUUACACUGCCUACCUAAUAUUUGGAGAUUAAAAGGCUACACUGGAUAUACCACACUGCAAAAUCUAACACUAAAAAACAGAACAAAUUACAGUGCUACUACACAUGGAAUUACAAAGUAAAUGCCGAGGAAUUACAAUGAUAGUGCACAGAGAAAUACAUGGGAUUACCCUUGAGACUACACUGCUCACUCUGCAAACAUCUCACACGGGAAUAAGCACUGGAAAAGCCUAACACAGGGAAACAAUUAAUACUACCAAAAUACAAACAACUACAACCAAAAUCAGGAGGGUUGGAGUAGAACUGCCAUGAACCAACCAGACCAAGAAAAUAUAGAGCCUACCUAUCCAGCAGAAAUUACUGAACCCUAACCACAAGAACAACCCUCUGAUGACACCUACCACCGCCUAUAACCGAUGGGAUCAAAACAUGGAGACCUAAAACCUAACAGCGGAACCACAACCCAGAACAACAGACUAAUUCAUACAUCUACAAAAAAAGCAGAGGAGGAACCAACGGAAUCUACACAUACCCCGCGAAGCUGAACAAAUAGCUGCGUCUACAAGAGCUUUCCACAACAACACCCUGGAACCUACACACACCAGGAAGCCAAGCAAAAACAGAGUUAGAUCUAGAAGCUAAGGGGCAAAAACAUGCGAAAUCACACAGGGGGAGGGGGAGAUGAGAACAACGAACCAUGGCAACCGUGAAUCAAAGAGAAAAUUAAGCUCCAGCAGGGGGAAAGGGGACGGAAUCGCCUCCUCUUCUCCACCGCUCUACGUCUAGCUCUCUCUCUAUCAAAUCGAAAACUAUCGAACACUACCGCCCAAAUGAAAUGGGCAAGGGAAAUACGCAGAAAAAACCAGACAGAAAACCACACCUGGCGAGCGGCGGAAAAACGGGCUGGAGCCAAACGAAACGUGCGCCCGAUAAGAAAAACAGAC
rnacentral:lncRNA from 1 species